AAUCCAUAGGUUAAUGAGGCGAACCGGGGGAACUGAAACAUCUAAGUACCCCGAGGAAAAGAAAUCAACCGAGAUUCCCCCAGUAGCGGCGAGCGAACGGGGAGGAGCCCAGAGCCUGAAUCAGCAUGUGUGUUAGUGGAAGCGUCUGGAAAGGCGCGCGAUACAGGGUGACAGCCCCGUACACAAAAGCGCAUGUGCUGUGAGCUCGAUGAGUAGGGCGGGACACGUGGUAUCCUGUCUGAAUAUGGGGGGACCAUCCUCCAAGGCUAAAUACUCCUGACUGACCGAUAGUGAACCAGUACCGUGAGGGAAAGGCGAAAAGAACCCCGGCGAGGGGAGUGAAAAAGAACCUGAAACCGUGUACGUACAAGCAGUGGGAGCCCCACCACCAAAGCAUUUGCUGUACCGCGUUGACGGAGCGAAGCGACGUCAAACCGAUAAAACAGCAGUGUAAAGUGAGCCGCAGGGCGCUUUGCGCGACAGCGCAAAGGCAGGCGGUUUCGCGUAGCGAAAGCGAAUGCUUUGGGGUGGGGUGACUGCGUACCUUUUGUAUAAUGGGUCAGCGACUUAUAUUCUGUAGCAAGGUUAACCGAAUAGGGGAGCCGGAGGGAAACCGAGUCUUAACCGGGCGUUAAGUUGCAGGGUAUAGACCCGAAACCCGGUGAUCUAGCCAUGGGCAGGUUGAAGGUUGGGUAACACUAACUGGAGGACCGAACCGACUAAUGUUGAAAAAUUAGCGGAUGACCUGUGGCUGGGGGUGAAAGGCCAAUCAAACCGGGAGAUAGCUGGUUCUCCCCGAAAGCUAUUUAGGUAGCGCCUCGUGAAUUCAUCUCCGGGGGUAGAGCACUGUUUCGGCUAGGGGGCCAUCCCGGCUUACCAACCCGAUGCAAACUGCGAAUACCGGAGAAUGUUAUCACGGGAGACACACGGCGGGUGCUAACGUCCGUCGUGAAGAGGGAAACAACCCAGACCGCCAGCUAAGGUCCCAAAGUCAUGGUUAAGUGGGAAACGAUGUGGGAAGGCCCAGACAGCCAGGAUGUUGGCUUAGAAGCAGCCAUCAUUUAAAGAAAGCGUAAUAGCUCACUGGUCGAGUCGGCCUGCGCGGAAGAUGUAACGGGGCUAAACCAUGCACCGAAGCUGCGGCAGCGACACUGUGUGUUGUUGGGUAGGGGAGCGUUCUGUAAGCCUGUGAAGGUGUGUCGUGAGGCAUGCUGGAGGUAUCAGAAGUGCGAAUGCUGACAUAAGUAACGAUAAAGCGGGUGAAAAGCCCGCUCGCCGGAAGACCAAGGGUUCCUGUCCAACGUUAAUCGGGGCAGGGUGAGUCGACCCCUAAGGCGAGGCCGAAAGGCGUAGUCGAUGGGAAACGGGUUAAUAUUCCCGUACUUGGUGUUACUGCGAAGGGGGGACGGAGAAGGCUAUGUUGGCCGGGCGACGGUUGUCCCGGUUUAAGCGUGUAGGUGUGUGUUCCAGGUAAAUCCGGUUCACUUUAACACUGAGGCGUGACGACGAGGCACUACGGUGCUGAAGCAACAAAUGCCCUGCUUCCAGGAAAAGCCUCUAAGCAUCAGGUAACAUCAAAUCGUACCCCAAACCGACACAGGUGGUCAGGUAGAGAAUACCAAGGCGCUUGAGAGAACUCGGGUGAAGGAACUAGGCAAAAUGGUGCCGUAACUUCGGGAGAAGGCACGCUGACACGUAGGUGAAGUGAUUUACUCAUGGAGCUGAAGUCAGUCGAAGAUACCAGCUGGCUGCAACUGUUUAUUAAAAACACAGCACUGUGCAAACACGAAAGUGGACGUAUACGGUGUGACGCCUGCCCGGUGCCGGAAGGUUAAUUGAUGGGGUCAGCGCAAGCGAAGCUCCUGAUCGAAGCCCCGGUAAACGGCGGCCGUAACUAUAACGGUCCUAAGGUAGCGAAAUUCCUUGUCGGGUAAGUUCCGACCUGCACGAAUGGCGUAAUGAUGGCCAGGCUGUCUCCACCCGAGACUCAGUGAAAUUGAACUCGCUGUGAAGAUGCAGUGUACCCGCGGCAAGACGGAAAGACCCCGUGAACCUUUACUAUAGCUUGACACUGAACAUUGAGCCUUGAUGUGUAGGAUAGGUGGGAGGCUUUGAAGUGUGGACGCCAGUCUGCAUGGAGCCGACCUUGAAAUACCACCCUUUAAUGUUUGAUGUUCUAACGUGGACCCGUUACCCGGGUUGCGGACAGUGUCUGGUGGGUAGUUUGACUGGGGCGGUCUCCUCCUAAAGAGUAACGGAGGAGCACGAAGGUUGGCUAAUCCUGGUCGGACAUCAGGAGGUUAGUGCAAUGGCAUAAGCCAGCUUGACUGCGAGCGUGACGGCGCGAGCAGGUGCGAAAGCAGGUCAUAGUGAUCCGGUGGUUCUGAAUGGAAGGGCCAUCGCUCAACGGAUAAAAGGUACUCCGGGGAUAACAGGCUGAUACCGCCCAAGAGUUCAUAUCGACGGCGGUGUUUGGCACCUCGAUGUCGGCUCAUCACAUCCUGGGGCUGAAGUAGGUCCCAAGGGUAUGGCUGUUCGCCAUUUAAAGUGGUACGCGAGCUGGGUUUAGAACGUCGUGAGACAGUUCGGUCCCUAUCUGCCGUGGGCGCUGGAGAACUGAGGGGGGCUGCUCCUAGUACGAGAGGACCGGAGUGGACGCAUCACUGGUGUUCGGGUUGUCAUGCCAAUGGCACUGCCCGGUAGCUAAAUGCGGAAGAGAUAAGUGCUGAAAGCAUCUAAGCACGAAACUUGCCCCGA
rnacentral:rRNA from 1 species